GAUGAACGCUGGCGGUUUGCUUAACACCAUGCAAGUCGAACGGGUACUUCGGUACUAGUGGCGGACGGGUGAGUAACGCGUGAGAAUCUAGCUUCAGAAUGGGGACAACAGAGGGAAACCGCUGCUAAUACCCGAUGUGCCGAAAGGUGAAAGAUUUAUCGUCUGAAGAUGAGCUCGCGUCCGAUUAGCUAGUUGGUAGGGUAAAAGCCUACCAAGGCGACGAUCGGUAGCUGGUCUGAGAGGAUGACCAGCCGCACUGGGACUGAGACACGGCCCAGACUCCUACGGGAGGCAGCAGUGGGGAAUUUUCCGCAAUGGGCGAAAGCCUGACGGAGCAAGACCGCGUGAGGGAGGAAGGCUCUUGGGUUGUAAACCUCUUUUCUCUGGGAAGAAGCUCUGACGGUACCAGAGGAAUCAGCAUCGGCUAACUCCGUGCCAGCAGCCGCGGUAAUACGGAGGAUGCAAGCGUUAUCCGGAAUUAUUGGGCGUAAAGCGUCCGUAGGUGGCAAUUCAAGUCUGCCGUUAAAACCAGUGGCUUAACUACUGAGGGGCGGUGGAAACUGAAUAGCUAGAGUGUGGUAGGGGUAGAGGGAAUUCCCAGUGUAGCGGUGAAAUGCGUAGAGAUUGGGAAGAACACCGGUGGCGAAAGCGCUCUGCUGGACCACAACUGACACUCACAGGACGAAAGCUAGGGGAGCGAAAGGGAUUAGAUACCCCUGUAGUCCUAGCCGUAAACGAU
rnacentral:rRNA from 1 species